UUUGAUUUGUUACUGAAGAUGGAUCUUUUUGACUCAGAAUAUGGACGCUAUAAAUAAUUGAGAUGCUCGUGUGCCGCAGUGGUGGUGGGAUCAUGCCAUAAUUGAGCGCCCAUGUGAACUAUGGACAGCCACCGGCAGGACACUUUCCAGCUUCCACGCUUUGGACUCUUGUGAAAGCAAUGUGUAGAAGGACUGCUGUGUGGUAAGCCAGUCUUAUCUUUUGACGAUUGGGAAUUCUCAUGUUGGACUCCCAUCUCAUCCGAGUCAUUGCUGCCAUAAGAAGACAUUAAUUAUUUCUAGGCUUACAAAAGAAAAAUUCUUUUUGUGUUUCUUCAGCUCUAAAAUUCUCAAAGUACAUAAAAUUUGCUUAUACUUUGAAAUUAAUUAUCUUCAGGUUUCUUGAAGAAAUUAAUUAUUUCUAGGCUUACAAAAGAACAUUUCCUUUUGAGUUUCUUCAGCUCUAAAAUUCUCAAAGUACAUAAAAUUUGCUUAUGCUUUGUUGCUCCAAUUGUGAUAGAAAGAAUGAAUCACAUUGUAAUAAACACCAUGGAAACUGAUACAGCGUUCACCACCCACGUACGGUCAUCAUGCAUACACUACACUCUCCCCCUCCACCAUGCAAAAGAAGGAAGACCGAACGUGAUGAGUCACGGCAGGGAAGGUGAUGAACACGUCGCUCAGCAGAGGAGAUAACCGAAGGCCAGGGCGGCCACCGACGCCAGGGCCGCGGCAGCGGUGGACGACGUGGGGGUGCCGGAGGUGGGGCUGGGGGCGGGUGCCUGCGCCGCCGCGGCCUUCUGCACCAUGGACGCGGCCAUCACGACGGCCAUCAUGGCCAUGGCGAACAACUUGAGCUUGAGAGCUGCCUCCAUUGCUAGUAGCACUUUAAGGCACAACUACCGAGCACAGAGGAAUGGAGGGAGGAGAUGUAGAGAGGAGGCAAUGCAGUUCGGGCCGUGGAAGGAGGGGGAGGGAGAGGAGGGUUUUUGUAAGGAGACUACCAAGCUUGGGUCUGGGACAUGACAGGCUGUUUUCGCUUGUGUCUUCUUCCUCCUCCUCCUCCUCCUCCAUGUGUUUUGUUAGUUGGAACGUCUUAACAUACACGCUGUCGGAAGAGAUUUCCUUGUUUGUGUUCUCUUCCUUCUUUCUUUGUUCGAGGAAGAUGGGUUGUCCAUAGGUUGGUGCCAAAAUCUAGCUGGAAUGACAAUUGCAUGAUCCAAACUUUAGCUGUGCCCAAUCUGUCAAGAGCAACCACCGAUCUUUGAUUGUUUGUUCUUCUUUCUUCUUUAGCUGCUUCACUGUCUUCAAAGAAUUCCAUCAGAAGCUGGAGGAAGACUUUGUCAAUGGAACUCGGUUUCUGGUCACAUUUCUUCUGGAUGAAUUUUGGGAUGCAUGAUCACUCUCGAUAAUAAUUUUAAUGGUGUAAUUCUAUUAGAUUACUUGUUUUUUUAUUUCUUUUCAUCACAG
rnacentral:lncRNA from 1 species